rnacentral:rRNA from 1 species
GAUGAACGCUGGCGGCGUGCCUAAUACAUGCAAGUCGAGCGAACAGAUGAGGAGCUUGCUCCUCUGACGUUAGCGGCGGACGGGUGAGUAACACGUGGAUAACCUACCUAUAAGACUGGGAUAACUUCGGGAAACCGGAGCUAAUACCGGAUAAUAUAUUGAACCGCAUGGUUCAAUAGUGAAAGACGGUUUUGCUGUCACUUAUAGAUGGAUCCGCGCCGCAUUAGCUAGUUGGUAAGGUAACGGCUUACCAAGGCAACGAUGCGUAGCCGACCUGAGAGGGUGAUCGGCCACACUGGAACUGAGACACGGUCCAGACUCCUACGGGAGGCAGCAGUAGGGAAUCUUCCGCAAUGGGCGAAAGCCUGACGGAGCAACGCCGCGUGAGUGAUGAAGGCCUUCGGAUCGUAAAACUCUGUUAUUAGGGAAGAACAAAUGUGUAAUUAACUAUGCACGUCUUGACGGUACCUAAUCAAAAAGCCCCGGCUAACUACGUG